GCUUGUCUCAAAGAUUAAGCCAUGCAUGUCUAAGUAUAAAUCUUUUACUUUGAAACUGCGAACGGCUCAUUAUAUCAGUUAUAGUUUAUUUGAUAGUCCCUUACUACUUGGAUAACCGUAGUAAUUCUAGAGCUAAUACAUGCUGUAAGCCCGACUUUUCGGAAGGGCCGUAUUUAUUAGAUAACAGACCAAUGCCCCCCCGGGCUUUGUGGUGACUCAUAGUAACUAAUCGGAUCGCAUGGGCCUGUCCCGCGACAAACCAUUCAAGUUUCUGCCCCAUCAGCUUUCGAUGGUAGUGUAUUGGACUACCAUGGCUUUUACGGGUAACGGAGGAUUAGGGUUCGAUUCCGGAGAGGGAGCCUGAGAAACGGCUACCACAUCUAAGGAAGGCAGCAGG
rnacentral:rRNA from 1 species